UGCAGUAUUUAGAAAUCAAACAAAAGUGUUUUGUGCUUGAAAUUAGACCCCUUAGCUGGAUACGGGGAAGAGAGACAAUUUUGAGGGAUAUUCCCGGUAAGACCGGGAUACUUGGCAGAAAAAUUGCAGCCCAAUCAGAUUGCAGUGUUGCAAGAGAGAAACCUUACAGCUCAAUUUAGCUGAGAAGGCAAGAUGGCUCACUGUAUUUCUCCAGAGAUGCAGCAACAGCAUGAACAGCUCCUGCCAGAUAUCUAGGCUACUAGAAAAGAACCAUGGUCUAUCUUACUAUCUAUAAAUGAAGCUUGAACAGUUUGAAGUUGUAGAUUUUUUGUAUUAAAAGGACUUGUCUUUGUUUUGAGUUUUAGUGUACUACCAAUAAGAUUAAUUUGGCAAAA